AAUAUAGUAAAAUCCGUGGCUAGAGCAUUAUUCCCGGAUUUAUUUUGCUUCUAAAAAACAAAGCGCAAAAUUUUUUAAUAAAAUAUAGCGACCGCCACCGCUGCUCGCCUGGACGACCGAACGCAGUUGCCUGCUCCGACGUGCCUACGGUCAUCGCUUCGCCGUCGCUCCGCCGAUGCUUGGAGUUGGUAGGCAGCUGUUUUGCUAUGCCAUGAAUGGUUUUGCUCCUGGGGAAGACAGUGAAGUGAUUUUAUACCCUCAAGCAAAUUCCCAGCAGAGUUUCUUCUUCACUGGCUGGAAAUCUACUGAAAAUUCCAUCUCUUAAUGAUACCAUAACUGGAAAAGCAGUUGUUUCGUUGGGAGCUUUGAAAUGGCAGUGUAUAUUUUGCUAUUCUUGACCUGAACGAGCAGAUGGCUCUUGAUUAAAUUGUCAAUUAAUUCUUUCUUCUAAAUAUGGUGCUUGAGUGCUUAAUUAGAUCACAUAAGUUGAAGGCUUAUGUGAUGGUUCACCAGAUCAUAAAGAAAAAGAUAAUGAUAUGAUUAGAAACCAUACCCGUGCUCUUCAUACCGCUUCAAUGGUAUCUGCAUAUAUAGUACACCACAAUGGGCUGUAGAGAUAGUAUUGCAUUGCUCUUGUUUCUUUAACUGAUUAGUAGCAUUCUGAAUCUCAAAAUUUAUUGUUUCUGAUC